rnacentral:rRNA from 1 species
GACGAACGCUGGCGGCGUGCUUAACACAUGCAAGUCGAACGGAAAGGCCCUGCUUUUGUGGGGUGCUCGAGUGGCGAACGGGUGAGUAACACGUGAGUAACCUGCCCUGGACUUUGGGAUAACUUCAGGAAACUGGGGCUAAUACCGGAUAGGAGCUCCUGCUGCAUGGUGGGGGUUGGAAAGUUUCGGCGGUUGGGGAUGGACUUGCGGCUUAUCAGCUUGUUGGUGGGGUAGUGGCUUACCAAGGCUUUGACGGGUAGCCGGCCUGAGAGGGUGACCGGCCACAUUGGGACUGAGAUACGGCCCAGACUCCUACGGGAGGCAGCAGUGGGGAAUAUUGCACAAUGGGCGGAAGCCUGAUGCAGCAACGCCGCGUGCGGGAUGACGGCCUUCGGGUUGUAAACCGCUUUCGCCUGUGACGAAGCGUGAGUGACGGUAAUGGGUAAAGAAGCACCGGCUAACUACGUG